UUCGAUAACCCUCUGCAGAGCUCGUCGCGUUCAUUGGAAUCAGGUGUGUUGAAGCAGGGAACCAGCCACACACAGGACAGUGCUCCCUGAGACCAGGCUUGAAGACCAAUUGAUUUAAACAUUUCCAAAGGAGCCUUUUUAUGCCUUGUGGACAAGGUCACAGACUUGUCAGCAGACAGUUAUCCAGACGUUUGGAGGUUGCAGGUCUCUUGCCCUUCCAUGGGGCUUAGCCGGUUAAUCCAAACGCUGUGUGAAGUUUUCUGGGAAGAGUCCUUUAUGGGCAUCAGCUCCUAGCUGUGACCAUUCACUUUCCUUCAUACCCGUCAGCCAACCAGCAUCCUGGGAAACACACGACUAAAUGGUUAUUUGAUAAACUGAUGAUGCCAAGAAGAAUACCACAAUGUCACUUAUUGCAAUCUUGAAUUAUUUACAGUUUCCGUACCUGAUCUUCUGCAAGAGCUGUGGGGACGACUAGAACAAUGUCACCUUUCUUCAGUUCAAGCUCAUCCGAGUUUGCUGCCUCAAAAUCAUGCAGGGUCUCUACCUGCAGGACACCAAGAUACCGAAUUUUGAUUGAAGAGACAAUGAGAAGAGGACACAGCCUAGAACUCUCAAGUAAUAUGCUUGGGAGCAAAGCUAAUGAAUAAUGGGUACACCCAACACCAAAGCAAACAAGUAUGAUGACCAAUGUGGAACAAGAUGUACAUACAUAAACUAACAACAUGAUCAAUGUAAUUCAAAAGCACCAGAUUUGAAAAUACAUUUCAACCAUUCUUACCCACUAGACAUCAUAUAUAUCAAAUAUUACAGUAUGAGCUAAUACCAACCCAUUCCCACACCAUGCCAA